UCGGGAUUGACGUAAUCUCGUAAGACUUAAUAGUUCCUUUGAUAUUCCUUGAUAUGGUAACAGCUGUACGGGCAUUUGGACACCUGCCAGAAUUAAAGGGUCCAAAUACUGUGUCCAGGCCACUUAACUACUGGACAAUUAUGCCUACUGACAGAACUUUCUGGGACAUCAGAACUCUCCCAAAUACAGGAUGCUUGGCAACCCUAGAUAUAUUAUCAGGCAGUACUGAAACAAAUGGACCAAUUCAACAACUACAAAAUUGCUAAAAGCAAGAUAUAACAAAAGCCAAAAGUUUUGUCCUGUGAAUACCUAUCAUUACAGCGCCAGUCAUGUGGAUGGUUGACUUUGUACCGAAGAUGGUACACACACCAGCCAGACCAUAGUGAAAAUGAAGUAGUUAAGAAUGAAGAACUAACCCUGAACUCAUCUCCAGGGUGUCCUUCAUCACAGCAUUCCUCUCCCUCUUUCUUCCUUUUGUGGCUACAAGACUUCUCACCACACAUUCCUAAGACCAGUAUAAUAGUCUUAUCAGCAUUGUUUAGUCAUUGGUAAUACAGAAUAAAGUAUGUCACUGGUGGAAUUGAUGUAGAUUUGUGACUAUUGUCUGGCGAUAACAUUGAAGAAGAGAGGAACUUCCUCAAGAUUAGAAGAGUCGAGGUUAAACAUAUUGUGAAGAAAGGGAAGGAAGUCGUCACAAAGACGGUUUAGUGUGGUCUUAGCAUCAGUAAUUGUGAUGGGUACUUUGGUUUAGCUGGAGAAAAUUAAGAGGAGUUUCAUUCACAUAAAUGUUGAAAGUUAGUGAAUGUAUUGCACAGUGGACUUGUGAAAGGUGUUCAUAUUCACACAAUAGGGUAUAGCCCUGUAUAUACCUUAUUUAUACGUACAUGUGGUGCGCAUACCUUUUGGACAAAUAUCUGAUGUAUUUCUUGGAAACCAUCACACUGUAGAUCUUGAAGUGUUUUGUAAGUCAAGAACACUGUAUUGUCCAACUUUUUAUUUUCACCCCGAGUGAGUGACGUGUAUGUUGUGAUGAUGACUUGUGAUUUAUCAGCUCCUGGAAGUUUUUUUUUUUAUGUAUGAAUGUGUACACGUGUUUAUAAUGUAUGUAUGGCCACUGGGUGAGUUGGAUUAGUUUACAUUUGUAUGAGCCAGACUGAUGUGGAAUGUUUAUAAGCAUAUUAAAGUAACAUGGAUCAUUACCAGAGCUUUUGCCCCAGUACUGACUACUGUGGCAAUACCCAUUUCAAGUUGAAAUGUGCAACUUAAGAGUUUGUUGUAUUUCACCACGAGGUAGUUGGCGACUUCUGCUCGGACUUGUGUUCAGCCCCGGGAAUAUGUACUUACAACCCCCUUCCCCCUCUGCUCUCAUCAAAGUCCCUCAGUGCCAGAUCCUUAGUGUUCCAUAAUAUACUGACCCUCAACAAUCCUACCCAUAACUUAGAAUGUAAACACAUGACUGGUUUAGAGUAACAUUAGUGUUCAGAAAAGGUUGUUGUUGCAAAUUGUAGGAUGAAAUACAAUUUGUUUGUCUCCAGCUCUGUUCUCAUUUUGGCCCAUAAAUGUAUUUUGACGACGACCUACAAUUUUUUUUUCGGCGAACGAGUUCUCACACCAUGAAUCCUAACCACUGUAUAAGUGAGUACUGUAAUUAAGCAGUGAUGAGAUGGUUUCAGUGUGGCUUCAAGUUGUCCUCCUUAUGCGAGGAAGAAAAGUGGUACGAGUCAAAAUGAAACAUCUCUGAUAAGCACAGUUGCCGAUCCCAUCGUAAAAGUUCCGUACCGUAGAAUAGCCCCGCGUCUCGUAAGCCGACCCUUCAUAUAGUAUUCCAGUAGAAAAAUGCCACAAAAACUUUUUCACAAAUUGAGGACUAUCAGGGUAAUAUGAGUGCAAAGAUGAUGAAGAAAAUGAAUGGUGGUAAUUUCUCUGCAGGAAUAUUGCUGGCUUGCAAUUUAGUUUCACUCACUCCGCUGGUGUGAGAAUAUUUAUGUGUUAUACAGAAUAGCUGCAAAUGACCACCACCCACACACAGUUUUAUUAAUGGGGAAAGUGACACAAUAUCCUUACCCCUGCAAUGCCAACAACCCCAUACUCAUCACAUGACUACUCCAUCUUAUGUACUGUACCCAAUAGUAGCAAAGGUUACUAUGUGAACAUAGUGACGACGAAGUCGCUUUGCCGUUUGAGACAGAAGUACAGAGGAUCAAGAAAUGUCGUUUCUGUAAAUGCGUACCAUAUUUAUAAUUUAUCGUCCUCACUGAUUCCGUAUUUGCCAAAAGGAAAUAUUUUAUAAUUGACUUUUGUACAUAAUAAAGUUACUGUAAUCUGUAAAAAAACCAUUUUAUUUCAAGUCCUGCAUUGUGUAAAUUAGUCCAAAACUGAUAAUGUUCAUCAUGUGUACCUACAGUUGUGUUGUGUAGUGUAGUAGGUAGUAGGCAGCUACCAAACAGGGAGGUACUACCGC